AUGAGCUCACUGGUUCUACUGCUGGCCACCCUGGGGCUCCUGGUUCAGGGUUCAUCAGGACAAAUCGCUGUGACUCAGUCUCCUGAAUCUCAGUCUGUUGUUCCAGGACAGACUGUCUCCAUCAGAUGUAAAACCAGUUCAAAUGUUUACAGCUAUCUCAGCUGGUACCUUCAGAAACCUGGAGAAGCUCCUAUACUCCUGAUUUAUUCAGCUUCAAGCCGUCAGUCUGGAGUUCCAGGUCGUUUCAGUGGAAGUGGAUCUGGGACUGACUUCACUCUGACCAUCAGUGGAGUUCAGGCUGAAGAUUCAGGAGUUUACUACUGUCAGCAGAGUUACAGCUGGCCGUUCACACAGUGAUACA